UACGUAGGGGGCAAGCGUUGUCCGGAUUUAUUGGGCGUAAAGAGCGUGUAGGCGGCUAGAUAGGUCCGUUGUGAAAACUCGAGGCUCAACCUCGAGACGCCGGUGGAAACCAUCUAGCUAGAGUCCGGAAGAGGAGAGUGGAAUUCCAGGUGUAGCGGUGAAAUGCGUAGAUAUCUGGAGGAACACCGGUGGCGAAGGCGGCAUCCUGUACCAACACUGACGCUGAGGAGCGAAAGCCAGGGGAGCAAACGGG
rnacentral:rRNA from 1 species